GUCAAAUAUAUUAUGGAACAAUAUGUACCGCCCUGAAAGGUCAUGUUUAGGAUGAAUACAUAAUGACAUGGGAAAAUAUGAUUUCAUGUAAAGUGAUAAAAAGCAGGAUGCUAAACUGUGUACAGGGAAUGAUCACAAUUUCAUUAAGAAAUGUAUCCACAUUUGGGGCACUUGGGUGGCCUAACGUUGGUUAAGCAUUGACUCUUUUGGCUCAGGUCAUGAUCACAUGGUUUGUGGGAUUGAGCCCCUGCAUUAGCACAGAGCCUGCUUGGGGUUUUCUCUCUCUCUCCCUCUCACUCUCGCUCUCCCUCUCUCUGCUCCUCCCUCACUUGCACAUGCACACGCACAAGGGCACUCUCUCUCUCUCUCUCUUUCAAAGUAAAUAAGUAAACAUUAAAAAAAAUGUAGGGGUGCCUGGGUGGCUCAGUUGGUUGAGCAUCCAACUUCAGCUCGGGUCAUGAUCUCACGGUUCAUGAGUUCAAGCCCGGAGUCAAGCUCUGCACUGACAGCUCGGAGCCUUGAGCCCACUUCGGAUUCUGUGUCUCCCUCUCUCUCUGCCUCUCCCCCACCCCUGCUCACAGUCUCUCUCUCUCUCUCUCUCUCUCUCUCUCUCUCUCUCUCUCUCUCUCAAAAAUAAACCUUAAAAAUAUUAAUGACCUGGUGUCAUAUGAGAAAAUAUAUUUUUUAAAAAUUAAAAAAUAAAUAAAUAAAAGAAAUUUAUCCAGUUCAAUGCCAACACCAAUCAUUUUGGAGUGGUUGGUUUUUCAGGUGGUCUUAUUUUCUUCAUUAUACUUUCUUUAACUUAUAUUCUAAGUUGUAUGCAAUAACAAUAUUAUUGCUUUGUAAUCAGAAAAUGUAUUUAAAAUUUUUAUAAAUUCAUGAUCCAAAGAGGAUUCUGCCAUCCUCAGUCCAUGAUUUCUCACAGCUUAUGAAAACAGAAAAGUCAAACAGCCAAACUCCAUUCUUGCUGCCUUGGCCCUCAAGCCAAUUUUCUCUCUCCAGGCCUCCUGACUCCAACAGAAGUAUUCGAAGCCCAUGGAAAACCUCACAAAUCCUAGAGAGAGUUAAAGAGGUGGUGAUAUUAAAGCAAACACUUUCCUGCUGUCCAAACAGACACGCCGUGGUUCUGAAUUCUGAUGGAAAGCUGUCAUCUCUGAUAAUACAUGCUUGUGAGUCCCUGAAGCUUUGGAAACCUGAGUCACAGCCACACCACAUCACUGCAGUUCUUAGCCUGAAUUUCCCAUGGGGUGCAAGCCUGUCAGCUGUGAGCAGGUGAGGCUUAUUUAAAACAUCUUCAUUUCUAGUUUGCACAACUUGGAAUAGAGCAUUCCGCGUCAUGCGAAAACAAGGACUACGUAUAGGGAGUACUCGUGUGGGAACUAGGCUUCGUUACACAGAUCAUCACACAAGGGGAAAUGACAUUCUGAGGGAAGUUAAUGAAACAGUGACAGCGUGCGGAAAUUCUGU
rnacentral:lncRNA from 1 species